UACGUAGGGGGCAAGCGUUGUCCGGAAUCAUUGGGCGUAAAGAGCGUGUAGGCGGCUUGGUAAGUCCGCUGUGAAAGUCCAGGGCUCAACCCUGGAAAGCCGGUGGAAACUGUCAAGCUUGAGUCCGGAAGAGGCGAGUGGAAUUCCUGGUGUAGCGGUGAAAUGCGCAGAUAUCAGGAGGAACACCAAUGGCGAAGGCAGCUCGCUGGGACGGUACUGACGCUGAGACGCGAAAGCGUGGGGAGCGAACCGG
rnacentral:rRNA from 1 species